rnacentral:rRNA from 1 species
UGGGGAAUAUUGCACAAUGGGCGCAAGCCUGAUGCAGCCAUGCCGCGUGUAUGAAGAAGGCCUUCGGGUUGUAAAGUACUUUCAGUCGGGAGGAAGGUGGUAAGGUUAAUAACCUUAUCAAUUGACGUUACCGACAGAAGAAGCACCGGCUAACUCCGUGCCAGCAGCCGCGGUAAUACGGAGGGUGCAAGCGUUAAUCGGAAUUACUGGGCGUAAAGCGCACGCAGGCGGUUGAUUGAGUCAGAUGUGAAAUCCCCGGGCUUAACCCGGGAAUUGCAUCUGAUACUGGUCAGCUAGAGUCUUGUAGAGGGGGGUAGAAUUCCAUGUGUGGCGGUGAAAUGCGUGGAGAUGUGGAGGAAUACCGGUGGCGAAGGCGGCCCCCUGGACAAAGACUGACGCUCAGGUGCGAAAGCGUGGGGAGCAAGCAGG